rnacentral:rRNA from 1 species
GCUUGAUGUGUUAGCAUGGAAUAAUGAAAUAUGACUUUAGUCCUAUUUUCGUUGGUUUAGGUACUUCAGUAAUGAUGAAUAGAAACGGUUAGGGGCAUUUGUAUUUGGUCGCUAGAGGUGAAAUUCUUGGA